ACAGGGCAAUUGCCUUAGUACGGCGAGUGAAGCGGCAAAAGCUCAAAUUUGAAAUCUGGCACCUUCGGUGUCCGAGUUGUAAUUUGAAGAAGGUAACUUUGGAGUUGGCUCUUGUCUAUGUUCCUUGGAACAGGACGUCACAGAGGGUGAGAAUCCCGUGCGAUGAGAUGCCCAAUUCUAUGUAAAGUGCUUUCGAAGAGUCGAGUUGUUUGGGAAUGCAGCUCUAAGUGGGUGGUAAAUUCCAUCUAAAGCUAAAUAUUGGCGAGAGACCGAUAGCGAACAAGUACAGUGAUGGAAAGAUGAAAAGAACUUUGAAAAGAGAGUGAAAAAGUACGUGAAAUUGUUGAAAGGGAAGGGCUUGAGAUCAGACUUGGUAUUUUGCGAUCCUUUCCUUCUUGGUUGGGUUCCUCGCAGCUUACUGGGCCAGCAUCGGUUUGGAUGGUAGGAUAAUGACUAAGGAAUGUGGCUCUACUUCGGUGGAGUGUUAUAGCCUUGGUUGAUACUGCCUGUCUAGACCGAGGACUGCGUCUUUGACUAGGAUGUUGGCAUAAUGAUCUUAAGCCACCCGUCUUAAAMMACGGRAAMC
rnacentral:rRNA from 1 species